UGGGGAAUCUUGCACAAUGGAGGAAACUCUGAUGCAGCGAUGCCGCGUGAGUGAAGAAGGCCUUUGGGUUGUAAAGCUCUUUUGUAGGGGAAGAUAAUGACUGUACCCUAAGAAUAAGGUCCGGCUAACUUCGUGCCAGCAGCCGCGGUAAUACGAAGGGACCUAGCGUAGUUCGGAAUUACUGGGCGUAAAGCGCGCGUAGGCCGUUGAGUUAGUUAAUUGUGAAAUCCCAAAGCUUAACUUUGGAACUGCAAUUAAAACUGCUCGACUAGAGUUUGAUAGAGGAAAGCGGAAUACAUAGUGUAGAGGUGAAAUUCGUAGAUAUUAUGUAGAACACCAGUUGCGAAGGCGGCUUUCUGGAUCAACACUGACGCUGAGGCGCGAAAGUAUGGGUAGCAAAGAGGAUUAGAUACCCUCGUAGUCCAUACCAUAAACGAUGAUUGCUAGAUGUUGGAAAUUUAUUUUCAGUAUCGCAGCUAACGCAUUAAGCAAUCCGCCUGGGGAGUACGACCGCAAGGUUA
rnacentral:rRNA from 1 species